AUGGGUCGCCGGCCUCGCGAGAGCGACGACGAAGACGAUGAUAUCCGCUACCACUACCCUCUUCCCUCCUCCACCUCCUACUAUGGCGCCGGCGUAUCCUCCAAGGGCUCCGGCGGUCGUGGCGGCAGCGGCGGGUCAGGUGGCCUGGCUCCAUCGAAAUCGACGGUCUAUAUCUCGAACUUGGACUACUCGCUGACAAACUCUGAUCUUCAUACCAUCUUCUCGACCUUCGGGAAGGUAGCCCGUGUCACUGUCCUCAAGGAUCGUGCCACUCGCGCCAGCCGUGGUGUGGCCUUUAUCCUCUUUGUCUCCCGCGACGAUGCGUCUUCGGCGGCUGCUGCCAUGAACGGGAAAAUCCUCAAUGGGCGGACCCUUUCGGCUUCUAUCGCCACCGAUAACGGCCGCGCCACGGAGUUCAUCCGGCGCCGCGUUUAUCGUGACAAGAGUCGGUGCUAUGAGUGCGGAGAAGGGGGACAUCUAUCAUAUGAGUGCCCGCGUAACCAGUUGGGGGCUAGGGAACGACCAAACCCUAAGAAGACUCGGAGAGCGGCUCAGAGAGAAGACGGUGGUGGGGAUGAUGGUGCCUUUGAUGGCGGGGAUGAAUUAGGAUUUGAGGAUGAUAACUGGGCAUCAGUGGUGGACACUAGGGAUUUCGAGGAGAAAGCUAGAGGGAGGGAGGAGGUGAUGGACCCGGAUUUAGAUUCAAAGAAGGAGAAGAAGAAGAAGAAGAAGGAGAAGAAGUUGAGCUAUUUUAGCGAUGAAAGUGGCGAGGAUGAUUAAAAAAGGACUAUCUUGACUGAUGAAGACACCUCUGUUUUCAUCUCCAGGUUGCAUUUCCCUCGCAAAUUGUCCUCUGACAGCAGAACAAGAGAGACCCAAUCUUUUCGUGAUAUGCAGAAUGAUGUCCAUGUUUCUUGGAGAUAGUAUUUGUGACACCAUGUUGGAAUUUGUUCAUCAGGGGCAUGCCAAAAAAAUAAAAAAAGUAUUUGUGAACAACUUGUUGAAUAUUUUGAAUAUUUUCUCAUUUGUCAACCAUGCUCAACAACAUCUCUUAUUUA